rnacentral:rRNA from 1 species
UGGGGAAUAUUGCACAAUGGAGGGAACUCUGAUGCACCGACGCCGCGUGAGUGAUGAAGGAAUUCGUUUCGUAAAACUCUUUUCUAUGGGAAGAAAAGGACUGUACCAUAGGAGAAAGCUCCGGCUAAAUACGUGCCAGCAGCCGCGGUAAUACGUAUGGAGCGAGCGUUGUCCGGAAUUAUUGGGCGUAAAGGGUGCGCAGGCGGCUUUACAAGUUGGAUGUGAAAUAUUGUGGCUCAACCACAAACGUGCAUCCAAAACUGCAAAGCUUGAGUUAAGGAGAGGUAAGUGGAAUUCCUGGUGGAGCGGUGGAAUGCGUAGAUAUCAGGAGGAAUACCGGUGGCGAAGGCGACUUACUGGACUUAAACUGACGCUCAGGGACGAAAGCGUGGGGAGCAAACAGG